rnacentral:tRNA from 1 species
GGAAAGGUGGUUCAGCAAGUAAGAGCACUGGCUGCGCUUCCAGAAGACCUGGGUUCAAUUCCCAGCAUCCA